UGCAGGUCAUAAACUCGGACUCUGUUUUUUAAUAGUUAAUUAAAGUGUUUAUCGAUACAAUUUCGUUAUUUCGAUCGAUGAUUACGUUGUUAGUUUUUAUUAGUCUUAUUUGAUUUAAUCGAAAUAAUUAUCGUACGAUUCCCCAUUUCAACUCGCCAUGUUUUGACUGCGAACGAACAGCUGAUAGCGGUGUGUCUACAUUUUCAAAAGAAGAGGCCUGCAAGACGUCGAUAGUGGAAAUUUCAGCUCUACUAACGUAUGACAGAUUAUAAAGCUGAAAGCAGACUCUUGUUACCACAUGGCUUUUACCUGUUGAUUCUUGUGGUUUCAGCUCUUGAGGUUAACCUGUCACCUCUACCCACAUGCAUAUUCCUUGUGUUCUACAGACUAUCUACCGGUAAUUCAAAUUAAAUCGGAUAAUGCAUGAACAAUAAUGGAACUUUAAGAAAGCAUCAUGUCCUAUUGUGGUUUGUUCAUGUUUGAUAAGAAAUUAUGAAAAACAAAAUUAAGGCUGUUUAAAGAAAUAUAAUUGUUGUGAAAAUUUGUUUUUCAAUAAAAGUAUGCAAUUAUA